GAUGAACGCUGGCGGCGUGCCUAAUACAUUCAAGUCGAGCGAACGGACGAGAAGCUUGCUUCUCUGAUGUUAGCGGCGGACGGGUGAGUAACACGUGGAUAACCUACCUAUAAGACUGGGAUAACUUCGGGAAACCGUAGCUAAUACCGGAUAAUAUUUUGAACCGCAUGGUUCAAAAGUGAAAGACGGUCUUGCUGUCACUUAUAGAUGGAUCCGCGCUGCAUUAGCUAGUUGGUAAGGUAACGGCUUACCAAGGCAACGAUGCAUAGCCGACCUGAGAGGGUGAUCGGCCACACUGGAACUGAGACACGGUCCAGACUCCUACGGGAGGCAGCAGUAGGGAAUCUUCCGCAAUGGGCGAAAGCCUGACGAAGCAACGCCGCGUGAGUGAUGAAGGUCUUCGGAUCGUAAAACUCUGUUAUUAGGGAAGAACAUAUGUGUAAGUAACUGUGCACAUCUUGACGGUACCUAAUCAGAAAGCCACGGCUAACUACGUG
rnacentral:rRNA from 1 species